rnacentral:rRNA from 1 species
CAGCAACUUGGGAGAAUGCUACUUAUAAGUAGAGUAAGUAUACAUGAAAUUUGUAUAUAGUUCUAGGUAAAAAUUUGAUAAUGACAAAGUUUUAUCUAUCUGUCUUGACCAAAUCUUGUGCCAGCAGUCGCGGCAACACAAGGAAGACAAGUGUUAUUCAUCUUAAAUCGGUUUAAGGGGUACCUAGACGGUAAAUUAGGCCAUAGUAGGUACGUUUUUACUAGAGUUAUACAUGCAUGGGGAUUGUGUCAGUAUUACCAGAGUAGAGAUGAAAUUUUUUGAUACUGUUAAGACUGGUAAAGGCGAAAGCAAACCUUUAUAUAUUAACUGACGUUGAGGGACGAAGGCUUGGGGAGCAAACAGGAUUAGAUACCCUAAUAGUCCAGGCAGAGAAUUAUGAAUGUCAUAGAUUAUACAUAA